rnacentral:rRNA from 1 species
UGGCGGCAGGCUUAACACAUGCAAGUCGAGCGGUAACAGGAAGAAAGCUUGCUUUCUUUGCUGACGAGCGGCGGACGGGUGAGUAAUGCCUAGGGAACUGCCCAGUCGAGGGGGAUAACAGUUGGAAACGACUGCUAAUACCGCAUACGCCCUACGGGGGAAAAGAGGGGACCUUCGGGCCUUCUGCGAUUGGAUGUACCUAGGUGGGAUUAGCUAGUAGGUGAGGUAAUGGCUCACCUAGGCGACGAUCCCUAGCUGUUCUGAGAGGAUGAUCAGCCACACUGGGACUGAGACACGGCCCAGACUCCUACGGGAGGCAGCAGUGGGGAAUAUUGCACAAUGGGCGCAAGCCUGAUGCAGCCAUGCCGCGUGUGUGAAGAAGGCCUUCGGGUUGUAAAGCACUUUCAGCGAGGAGGAAAGGUUAAGUGUUAAUAGCACUUAGCUGUGACGUUACUCGCAGAAGAAGCACCGGCUAACUUCGUGCCAGCAGCCGC